GGGAGGUGUGGGGAGGGGACAGAGCUUGCGGGGAUGGGUGGAGGGACAGAUAGGGGCAUGGGAGGUCAGGGGCCAGGCAGGGAGUGCAGGUCUAGGCUGCACUGUCCCCUCAGCAAGAAGUUCCUGUGGGAGGAGCUGGAACUGGUGCGGGAGGAGGUGACCUUCAUCUAUCAGAAGCUCCAAGCGCAGGAGGAUGAGAUCUCAGAGAACCUGGUGAACAUUCAGAAAAUGCAGAAAACGCAGGUGAAAUGCCGCAAAAUCCUGACCAAGAUGAAGCAGCAGGGUCAUGAGACAGCCGCCUGUCCGGAGACUGAAGAGAUACCGCAGGGAACCAGUGGCUGCUGGAAGGAUGACCUCCAGAAGGAACUGAGUGAUAUAUGGUGAUGCCCAGCCCGCAGUCUGACCCCUGACCCUCCUCUGAACCCGUUCCCCCAACGGGAUCUGGCAGUGACCACCAGAACCUGGAGCCCACCUGAGUCCAGACUUCCCUCACCCCCUAGGACUCACCCACCACGGCCCCCAACCUUAGCUGUACUGCUGUCUA
rnacentral:sRNA from 1 species